rnacentral:tRNA from 1 species
GGGCCGGUGGUCUAGUUCGGUUAGGAUGUCUCCUUUACACGGAGAUGGUCGACGGUCCAAAUCCGUCCCGGCCCA